AACGCUGGCGGCAGGCCUACACAUGCAGGUCAAGCGCGCCUUCGGGUGAGCGCCGGACGGGUUAGUAACGCGUGGGAACGUGCCCUUCUCUACGGAAUAGCCUCUGGAAAACGGAGAGUAAUACCGUAUACGCCCUUUGGGGGAAAGAUUUAUCGGAGAAGGAUCGGCCCGCGUUAGAUUAGGUAGUUGGUGGGGUAACGGCCUACCAAGCCUACGAUCUAUAGCUGGUUUUAGAGGAUGAUCAGCAACACUGGGACUGAGACACGGCCCAGACUCCUACGGGAGGCAGCAGUGGGGAAUCUUAGACAAUGGGGGCAACCCUGAUCUAGCCAUGCCGCGUGAGUGAUGAAGGCCUUAGGGUCGUAAAGCUCUUUCGCCUGUGAUGAUAAUGACAGUAGCAGGUAAAGAAACCCCGGCUAACUCCGUGCCAGCAGACGCGGUAAUACGGAGGGGGUUAGCGUAGUUCGGAAUUACUGGGCGUAAAGCGCGCGUAGGCGGAUUAGAAAGUUGGGGGUGAAAUCCCGGGGGCUCAACCCGGAACUGACUCCAAAAAUGCUAGUCUCAAGUCGAGAGAGGUGAUUGAAUUACGAGUGUAGAGGUGAAAUUCGUAGAUAUUCGGAGGAACCCAGUGGGCAAGGGGUCACUGGCUCG
rnacentral:rRNA from 1 species